rnacentral:rRNA from 1 species
UACAGGGGCCCCAAGCGUUAAUCGGAAUUACUGGGCGUAAAGGGCGCGUAGGCGGUCCUGUAAGUCUUGUGUGAAAUCCCUCGGCUUAACUGAGGAACUGCACGAGAUACUGCGAGACUUGAGUUCGGGAGAGGAAAGCGGAAUUCCGGGUGUAGCGGUGAAAUGCGUAGAUAUCCGGAGGAACACCGGUGGCGAAGGCGGCUUUCUGGACCGACACUGACGCUGAGGCGCGAAAGCUAGGGGAGCAAACGGG